GAUGAACGCUGGCGGCGUGCUUAAUACAUGCAAGUCGAGCGAACAGACCCUGAGUUUGUGCCUUGCACGUUAGGGGCGGACGGGUGAGAAACGCGUGUAUAACCUACCUAUCAGACUGGGAUAUUCACGGGAAUCGGGCUCUAAUACGGUAUAAUAUCUUGAAGCGCAGGGUUCAAUAGAGAAUUACGGUUUUGCGGUCUGUAAUAGAGGGUUCCGCGCUGCAUUGUGUAGUUGGUACUGUAACGGCUUACCAAGGCUAGGAUGCGUAGCCGACCGGGGAGGGGGAUCGCCCACACUGGAAGUUAGACACGGACAAGACUCCUACGGUAGGCAGCAGUAGGGAAUCUUCCGCAGUGGGCGAAAACCUUACGGAACAACGCCGCGUGAGUGAUGAAGGUCUUCGGAUCGUAAAGCUCUGUUAUUAGGGAAGAACAAAUGUGUAAGUAGCUAUGCACGUCUUGACGGUACCUAAUCAGAAAGCCACGGCUAACUACGUG
rnacentral:rRNA from 1 species